rnacentral:rRNA from 1 species
AUGGCUACUUGCUUAUCUGACCUAGUUAGAGACUACUGUUUAGAUUUUAUUGGUAUUCAGGAAACAAUGAAGAAGGACUUUUCCUCUAAAUUCUUGAGGAAAUUUGAUCCAGGACAAUAUUUUGAUUGGAGGUGGUUCCCUUCAAUAGGUAAAUCUGGGGGAAUUCUUUGUGGUACUAAGGAAGAUACUUUUGAAGUUAGAUCCUGUGAGAUAGGUAAAUAUAUCAUGAAGCUUGAACUAUGGGAUAAGAGAAAAGUGGUAUACUGUAUUCUGGUAGUGUAUGGCUCUGCUCAUGAAGAGUAUAAAAUGGAAUUUUUGACAGAGUUGUCUGACAUGUGUAGCAAUAUUGCUUGCCCUUACAUUGUAGGGGGAGACUUUAAUAUUCUUAGAUAUGCUAAGGAGAAAAAUAAGAAAACUAGUAUGAGUCAUGCUACUGAUCUCUUUAACUCCAUCAUUAAUACAUUCUGUCUCAGGGAAGUUGACAUGAAUGGUGGUAUAUAUACUUGGUCUAAUAAUCAACAAAUUCCUACCCUGGAAAAAUUGGACCGUAUACUUAUGUCCAGUUCUUGGGAAAGGCAAUUUCCUUUGACUUUUGUCAGGAAACUUACUAAAGAGAUUUUAGAUCAUAGUCCUUUGCUCUUGAAUACUGAA